CGGGGGGCAGCAGUGGGGAAUCUUGCGCAAUGGACGAAAGUCUGACGCAGCAACGCCGCGUGAGGGACGAAGGCUUUCUGAGUUGUAAACCUCUUUCGACAGGAACGAUAAUGACGGUACCUGUAGAAGAAGCACCGGCCAACUAUGUGCCAGCAGCCGCGGUGAUACAUAGGGUGCAAGCGUUAUUCGGAUUUAUUGGGCGUAAAGAGCUCGUAGGCGGUUCGAUCAGUCGGGUGUGAAAUCUCUGGGCUUAACCCAGAGCAGCCACCCGAAACUGUCGUGACUAGAGUUUGGUAGGGGAUCACGGAAUUCCUGGUGUAGCGGUGGAAUGCGCAGAUAUCAGGAGGAACACCAGCAGCGAAGGCGGUGAUCUGGGCCAAUACUGACGCUGAGGAGCGAAAGCGUGGGGAGCGAACAGGAUUAGAUACCCGGGU
rnacentral:rRNA from 1 species